rnacentral:rRNA from 1 species
CGAGGGGUAACAGGGUAGCAAUACCGCUGACGACCGGCGCACGGGUGAGUAACGCGUAUGCAACCUGCCUAUAACUGGGGAAUAGCUCCCUGAAAGGGGAAUUAACACCGCAUAACGACUAUUGAUUCGCAUGGAUUGGUAGUUAAAUGUAGCGAUACAGGUUAUAGAUGGGCAUGCGUGACAUUAGCUAGUUGGUGAGGUAACGGCUCACCAAGGCUACGAUGUCUAGGGGUUCUGAGAGGAAGGUCCCCCACACUGGUACUGAGACACGGACCAGACUCCUACGGGAGGCAGCAGUGAGGAAUAUUGGUCAAUGGGCGCAAGCCUGAACCAGCCAUGUCGCGUGCAGGAAGACUGCCCUAUGGGUUGUAAACUGCUUUUAUAGUAGAAGAAACACAUCUACGUGUAGAUGUCUGCCAGUAUACUAUGAAUAAGCAUCGGCUAACUCCGUGCCAGCAGCGGC